CCUGGCGGCACUAGCGCGGCGGUCCCACCUGACCCCAUGCCGAACUCAGAAGUGAAACGCCGUAGCGCCGAUGGUAGUGUGGGGUCUCC
rnacentral:rRNA from 1 species